rnacentral:rRNA from 1 species
UACAGAGGUCUCAAGCGUUGUUCGGAUUCAUUGGGCGUAAAGGGUGCGUAGGCGGGCAGGUAAGUCCGUGGUGAAAUCUCUGAGCUUAACUCAGAAACUGCCAUGGAUACUAUUUGUCUUGAAUAUUGUGGAGGUAAGCGGAAUAUGUCAUGUAGCGGUGAAAUGCUUAGAUAUGACAUAGAACACCAAUUGCGAAGGCAGCUUACUACACAGUUAUUGACGCUGAGGCACGAAGGCCAGGGGGAGCAAACGGG